GCCCAGGUGGCGGAAUGGUAGACGCGCUAGUUUCAGGUACUAGUGUUAGAAAUGACGUGCAGGUUCGAGUCCUGUUCUGGGCACCU
rnacentral:tRNA from 1 species